UAAACAAUCUAACAUGGUACAUAAUAAACUAUAUACUUAUUUUUCAACCACUAUCAUUGUGAACCUUUCUUUGGAGGAGCUCUAUGAUAUGCAAGCACACUAGCAGCCGGAAAGAACAUUUGCCUGACUCCUUCAGCUUUAAUAAUAGGAAAAAUUAUCCCUGCUGCACCCUGGGUGGGUAGAGGUAGCAACAGACGACCAAACCCAUAAACAGCUACAGCAAAGAAAUGAAGAACUAGCCACACUGGGCUCGGGUUUAGCCCGGAAAGUAGUCCAACAGGCCCAGAUGAACAAGCACCUCCUAGGCUUAAAUAAUCAAAACACGCGUCCCGCAUUUCCUUCAUUGCUUGGUCAGGAGAUGCACAAAACACUUUGUACAGAGCCCCAGCUAAUGUAUUUAUUGUCGAAGCCA
rnacentral:lncRNA from 1 species